rnacentral:tRNA from 1 species
GCCCUAGUGGUGCAGUGGUUAAGCGCUCAGCUGCUAACUGAAAGGUUGGUGGUUCAAACCCACCCAGCAGCU